rnacentral:rRNA from 1 species
CGACCGGCGCACGGGUGAGUAACACGUAUGAACCCUGCCCGUAGCAGGGGGAUAAGCGGAAGAAAUUCCGUCUAAUACCGCGUAACAACCCAUGGAGGCAUCUCUGUGGGUUUAAAGGAAGCGAUUCCGGCUACGGAUGGUCAUGCGUCUCAUUAGCUUGUUGGCGGGGUAACGGCCCACCAAGGCGACGAUGCGUAGGGGUUCUGAGAGGAAGGUCCCCCACACUGGUACUGAGACACGGACCAGACUCCUACGGAAGGCAGCAG